AGCGAACGUUAGCGGCGCGCCUAACACAUGCAAGUCGCACGGGGUAGCAAUACCCAGUGGCGCACGGGUGCGUAACACGUAGAUAACCUGCCCUGAAGAGGGGGAUAACGUUCCGAAAGGAGCGCUAAUACCGCAUAACGCCAGUCUGGGUUCGCCUGGGCUGGACAAAGGCUGGGACCGGCAACGGCCAGUCGCUUUAGGAGGGGUCUGCGGCCCAUCAGCUAGUUGGUAAGGUAAUGGCUUACCAAGGCAAAGACGGGUAGCUGGUCUGAGAGGAUGAUCAGCCACACUGGUACUGGAACACGGACCAGACUCCUACGGGAGGCAGCAGUGGGGAAUCUUGGUCAAUGGGCGCAAGCCUGAACCAGCGACGCCGCGUGAGUGAUGAAGGCCUUCGGGUUGUAAAGCUCUGUGGGGAGGGACGAAAGACUGAGGUCUAAUAGGCUUCAGGUUGACGGUACCUCCUUAGCAAGCACCGGCUAACUCUGUGCCAGCCGCCGCAGUAAAAC
rnacentral:rRNA from 1 species